rnacentral:rRNA from 1 species
UACAGAGACUGCAAGCGUUAUUCGGAUUCACUGGGCGUAAAGGGUGCGCAGGCGGCCGAGUGUGUGAGGCGUGAAAGCCCGAUGCUUAACAUCGGAAUUGCACCUCAAACUACACGGCUAGAGCAUUGGAGAGGGUAGCAGAAUUCAUGGUGUAGCAGUGAAAUGCGUAGAUAUCAUGAGGAAUACCAGUGGCGAAGGCGGGUCUCUGGACAGUUCCUGACACUGAGACACGAAGGCCAGGGGAGCAAACGGG